GCGGAGAGCGGGGCUGCGGCGCGGGAGGAGACCCGGGAGCCGCGGGAACGACGGACCAAAGGCGCGACAGAGUAGGCGAAGUUGUGGAGAUGACCGCUUGUUUUUUUGUUCUUGGAAGUCUCGCAGCGCCUCACCCAGCACGGAGUCUGGUGCACAGCAGAUCCUGUUUGUGGGGUGCAAAUGUGGGGCUCCCACUCCUGUUCCUCCGACUGUUUAAGGCAGCGGCCGUGGUGGUGGAUACCCGUCAUGGAGCCUGGCACACAGUGUGUCAUUGGCCUCAGGGAAGAGCCCGGGACAGAGAGAAUCUGGGGCAGGUUCCUGGCAAGACAGCCCGCAUGUACAUCCCUUCCGGGGCCUCCCAUGUCCCGUACGGGUUGCCACGAGGACCAUGGGGACCGAGGAAGGGUAAUUUUAUGUUCACUCCUGGAAAUGACAGUGAGAGAGCCUCCAGGUUGAGGGAGCAGCCAUGCAAAGGCCCUGAGCAUGCCCCCCACCGGACCCCGUCAUGGAGCAGCAGCCACAUGGCCCAAGCGGAAGGCGCCUCCUCACCAGCCAGCACCCCGUUUGCACGUCACUUGCCCGGAUCUCGGAAGAAGGCGCCAGGGUUUUUUCUAGAGACCCUGUGGAGGAUGGAGAAACAGCCGCAGGGCCUCCUCGAAGGUGUCGAAGACUGAGGCUUCGAUGCAGAGGCGGCGGCGCACAUGUGGAAAUAAGGUACAUUCUGGAACAUGGUUUUUAAAAAUCCUGGCUACACCAUGGCAGGCACAGUGCCAGGUGAUCUACAAGAAGCAUCUAUCAUAAUCCACAUCACACUCCAAGGAUCCAGAGAGAAUGUUUCCCCACUUUUAGAAGAGAACUAUGUCUCAGAAAGGUGAAAUUACUUUCCCGUGAUCCUAUAUUUUUAUUCAACCCAUCUCUCCCCAAAAAUAUCUAUUGAGAACCAAUUAGUAUGGCAGCCUGGGAUUGUAUCCCACACACAGUCUGGAAAGUUCCAUCCUCUGAGUGUCUCUCAGCCUCCUCCCCAUCACCUCACCAGCUGCAGUUUCCAUGGCAACAGAGCCUGCCUGAAUCACUGAGACCCGGUGAAUGAGAUUAAGUACCAGGGCAGAGUAAUGGAUCCCAGAACUGUCGAGCUGGAAAAGGGUGAGGUCUGGGGGAGGGCACAGGCUUUCUGAACCCGGGAGUGGGAUUUGGGUGUAUGUUUAGAUAACACCCCAAGUUUAAAUGGGCCCACUUUAAAAGAUGUCUUUGCCGAAGGGGUGGAGGAAGCUGCAGGCACAAGUUGAGAUCACAAACAUCUGUUUCUCAGCAGCUGCCAGCACCGAUGACGUAAACAGCCUUUGUUUUAGCCAAUAAUCUGUUUUUUGUCUGACUCGUUCAUUCAGCAAAAUGUCUUUACAGAGUGAUUACUGUUCGGCAGACGCUGUUUUAGGUGGUGGGCAUCUAAAACAGUUAUACUCUUGGAGUUCCCUGGUGGCACAGCGGAUUAAGUAUCCAGCAUUGUCGCUGCAGUGCACUGGGUCACUGCUGUGACUCAGGUUUGAUCCCUGGCCUAGGAACUUCCGUGUACCACCAGCAUGGCCCCCCCAAAAAAAUCAUAAAAUAGAUGUAGUCUUAAUUCUCAUGGGAGUUGGCAUCCUAUUUGAAAUAUAGUAAAUGCAAAUAUAUAUUUAAAUACAAGUACAUAUUUAUUUAUGUAUAAAUAAUAAACAAUAUAUGUGAAUAUAUAAUAAAGAAGUACAUAUAUAUG
rnacentral:lncRNA from 1 species